UAACGAAUGUCUAUGAAAUAUUUAGUAACGGGAUAUGGUGUUGGUCUGUACCAUCAACCUCAAAAAUGAUGUAAGGACCACAACAUGUGAAUACGAAGAACAUGAGGAAAUAAAAAAUGCUACUUUUGAAUCGACGAAAACAUUUUUCUUUCCAAGUUACUUCAAAGGAAUCCUUGUUGAAUGGCCAAAUACCCAAUGUAUCUAAAAUCCAACGAUUUAUCUCUGUGGUCAAAUUAACGUACUUUUCAUAAUCCUGGUAAUAGUUCACAUGGAACUUAUUUUAUUCACAUGCAAUUUCAAAGUGAGUUGGUGGAAAUGAAUGUUGGUAUAAAAAUGGUAUUAAUUAAAAGUCUG